AUACAUAGGGGGCAAGCGUUAUCCGGAAUUAUUGGGCGUAAAGGGUGCGUAGGCGGUUAGUAAAGUUUAAGGUAUAAGCUCAUGGCUCAACCAUGGGAGGCUUUAGAAACUGGCUAACUUGAGUGCAGUAGAGGCAAGUGGAAUUCCAUGUGUAGCGGUAAAAUGCGUAAAUAUAUGGAGGAACACCAGUAGCGAAGGCGGCUUGCUGGGCUGUAACUGACGCUGAGGCACGAAAGCGUGGGGAGCAAACAGGAUUAGAUACCCUGGUAGUCCACGCCGUAAACGAUGAGUACUAAGUGUUGGGGUAGCCCAGUGCUGAAGUUAACGUAAUAAGUACUCCGCCUGAGUAGUACGUGCGCAAGCAUGAA
rnacentral:rRNA from 1 species